rnacentral:rRNA from 1 species
UACGGGGGGGGCAAGCGUUGUUCGGAAUUACUGGGCGUAAAGGGCUCGUAGGCGGCCAACUAAGUCAGACGUGAAAUCCCUCGGCUUAACCGGGGAACUGCGUCUGAUACUGGAUGGCUUGAGGUUGGGAGAGGGAUGCGGAAUUCCAGGUGUAGCGGUGAAAUGCGUAGAUAUCUGGAGGAACACCGGUGGCGAAGGCGGGUUGCUGGGCCGACACUGACGCUGAUGCGCGAAAGCCAGGGGAGCGAACGGG